GUUUCAAGAUGGCGGAGCGAAUUUCAUGGUUAUUGUUUCUACUCGAUGGAUUCGCAGAUAAUUCGGAAAUAGAUCAGAUUGGGAUCAAUAACUUUAUUGCAUACGAUCAUUUACAUGUAUUACCAGGUGUGUGUUGCCAGUAAUGGUUGAAGAUAUGCCAAACAAAUUGUGCCUCUCUAUACAGACAGAUUUCAGGUCUCAAUUUCAACUUCAAAGGUCAACACAUCACUGAUAUCAGGAAUUCUGUGAAACUGUGGCACCAUGAAUGGUACGUGAGCGCACAAUGUCUGUUGGAAAAAGGAUAUUGGAAUAAGCAAAGGGACUCAACAUUACACAGUUAUUUCAACAUGUAGAGUCUUGUCAGCAAUGAUGGAGCAGUACAUCAGAUUUCCAGAAUCUCGUCAUGAGCUGAAGAUCAUUGCCUAUGGAUUUCAUGAAUGAUGUAGAAUGAUUGGACUGUUGAUGGAACCCACAGUGCAUGUCCUGCUUCAACAUCUGAGCAUAGGUCCUUGUUUAUCAGCAGUUUAGUUCUUCAAGCAGUCUGUGACAGUAACUUGAAAUGUUUGGACAUAUGACCUGGUUGGCCAAGUUCUGUGCAUGAUGCCCAUUUAAAUAGGAACGGCCCAGUGGCGCAUUAAAUGGACAUUUUUUUAAUGUUCUUGAGGAUUCAGCUUACCGCCUGACAAGAAAUCUUGCUUUUUGUUCCGUAUCGAGGCCAUGGACAUUUGUAUCAUUUGCAAAAGAUACUGCAAUAUUUGUGCCUUUGUUCAUGCUUUAUAGUUGAUUAACAAUUGGAAGCCAUAACCUGUUUUAUAGGAUGGUGUUAGUGGGACAAUGAAUUUUGUAAAGAUUUAAAGACUGGAAAAGAUAAUUAAAAGUCAAAAGAGUUCUGCUAUUGUUAAGCAUGCUUUAUUGAUUUGUAAUGUUAGAAAGAUAGCAUUAUUAACAGAAUAAAAUGUCCAUACUUUGAA